rnacentral:lncRNA from 1 species
AAGUUCUCGUGUUGCACCCAUUUUCUUUUUUUCAGAUGUGCCGUUCGACGUUACGCGUGACUUUAAUUAUGGUCCGCAGAUUUAUUCGCAAAUGUGAGUCACGGCGCAGUGGCAUUUUACUUAAUAUUUAAACGAGAACGAGAGGUGCAGUGCGCAUGCACAAGGAAACAAAUGACGGGAGCGGGAAGAAAGGAGAAGGAGUUUAUAUAUUUGCAGCGCGAAAUUAAACAGGUGCGAUCAUACCAGCACUAAUGCCCCGUAUCCCAUCAGAACUCCGCA